rnacentral:ncRNA from 2 species
UGCUUAUCAAGAGUGACUGAGGGAACAGGCCCUGCGACGUCCGGCAACCUCCUUAAAUGGAACGGUGCUAAAUCCUGCAGAAUGUCCUUCAUUCUGAAAGAUAAGUC